AGGUUAAUUCCGGUGGCGGAUGGGCAUGCGUCGCAUUAGUUAGUUGGCGGUGUAACGACCCACCAAGACGACGAUGCGUAGGGGUUCUGAGAGGAAGGUCCCCCACACUGGUACUGAGACACGGACCAGACUCCUACGGGAGGCAGCAGUGAGGAAUAUUGGUCAAUGGGCGGGAGCCUGAACCAGCCAAGUCGCGUGAGGGAUGACGGCCCUAUGGGUUGUAAACCUCUUUUGCCGGGGAGCAAAGUGCCGCACGUGUGCGGUUUGGAGAGUACCCGGAGAAAAAGCAUCGGCUAACUCCGUGCCAGCAGCCGCGGUAAUACGGAGGAUGCGAGCGUUAUCCGGAUUUAUUGGGUUUAAAGGGUGCGUAGGCGGACGCUUAAGUCAGCGGUAAAAUUGCGGGGCUCAACCUCGUCGAGCCGUUGAAACUGGGUGCCUUGAGUGGGCGAGAAGUACGCGGAAUGCGUGGUGUAGCGGUGAAAUGCAUAGAUAUCACGCAGAACUCCGAUUGCGAAGGCAGCGUACCGGCGCCCAACUGACGCUGAAGCACGAAGGCGUGGGUAUCGAACAGGAUUAGAUACCCUGGUAGUCCACGCAGUAAACGAUGAAUGCUAGUUGUCCGGGGCGAUUGAGUUCUGG
rnacentral:rRNA from 1 species